UGAUCAUGGCUCAGAUUGAACGCUGGCGGCAGGCUUAACACAUGCAAGUCGAGCGGUAGCACAGGGGAGCUUGCUCCCUGGGUGACGAGCGGCGGACGGGUGAGUAAUGUCUGGGAAACUGCCUGAUGGAGGGGGAUAACUACUGGAAACGGUAGCUAAUACCGCAUAACGUCGCAAGACCAAAGAGGGGGACCUUCGGGCCUCUUGCCAUCAGAUGUGCCCAGAUGGGAUUAGCUAGUAGGUGGGGUAAUGGCUCACCUAGGCGACGAUCCCUAGCUGGUCUGAGAGGAUGACCAGCCACACUG
rnacentral:rRNA from 1 species